rnacentral:lncRNA from 1 species
GGGUCGUGGCUCGGGUCGUUUUCUCUUGGGCUUAGGCCCGUGUGGUUUGGAGACGCAUGGGGCGCUGUGUUGUCUUCGGCAUGUUUUGGGCCUUCACUUCUAGGGCUGUGAGCUGAGCUUGGACUCGCGCUGCUGAGGCAGUAGCUUAGGCUACUCUAAACGCCUGGGCUUGUUGCUCACCGUGGGUUAUGGGCCUGCCAAAGGUUUCCAUGGUGGUGCCCCGUGGGGGUUGUACCGCUCCACUCGCAGUUGCGUUGAACCUCGUGGAUCGCUGUGGUCCAAAGUUUUGAACGUUGGAAUUUUUGUUUGUCGUGGUUUCCGAAUCUCUUAUCAUUGUACUUUUCUUUUACGUUUAUUCAAAGAAUUUUUAUGAAAAAAAUUUAUGAACAAGAACAUACGGAAAAAUCUACAAAUGAACAAGAAAAAAGAAAACCUCGAAUGCGAAAGUCUUCUUCGAGCGUGUGAAUCAAGACUCUCAAUUAAAGCACCAAUUUGUGGAUGCAAAUUUCCACCUUCUUCUUCUUGCAUGAAAAUGCACCUGCAAAACAAUUAACAC